rnacentral:lncRNA from 1 species
CCAAGCCAGCCAGAGGUGGCGGCUUGGAGGAAGAAGAUCCAGCGAGGAGAGGAUGGAGAAAUGGAAAUAUGGAAUGGAAGAGAGAGGAGGAGAGGGGGGUGUGGGUUUUAUAGCACAGGGCCACGGGAGAGAGCAUAUAUACUAGGGGAAGGAUCUGGGGGAUCAAGUGCCUUCCACAGAUAGCAGCGGUCAGCAGCUCAAUUCCUUCCCUUGGCUUCUAAGAAAUUAGGACGCGGAAAACACGUGCUGCGCCCUUCUCCAGUUGUGGGUCCUCCCACGGCUUGUUCUAGGGCCUUCUUUAUUUUAUUUUAUUUUAUUUUCUAUAAGUAUUGUUUUCCUAAUGAUGAUCAUUUUGGUUUUGGUGGUAUUACUUUGCUCUCCUUGUAUUUCUUCUUUUCAUGGUGGCGUGGAAUGGAUUGGUUCAAGGAUUUCUUGUUGUUAUUAAUUCUUUCGGGAUCCUCUGUUUUGUGAAUUCGUCGAAUUGUAUAAUGCAUGGUUAUAUACCAUCUCAAAAUUAUUUUGAAUUACAUAAAUAUACAAAAUAAUUUCUACAAUCACGUUUACCCCAUUUGCAUUCGCCUGUUUUAUUGUUCGGCUAAUUAACCAA